rnacentral:rRNA from 1 species
UACGGGGGGGGCAAGCGUUGUUCGGAAUUACUGGGCGUAAAGGGCGCGUAGGCGGCCUGCUAAGUCGGAUGUGAAAUCCCUCGGCUCAACCGGGGAACUGCAUCCGAUACUGGCGGGCUUGAAUCCGGGAGAGGGAUGUGGAAUUCCAGGUGUAGCGGUGAAAUGCGUAGAUAUCUGGAGGAACACCGGUGGCGAAGGCGGGUCUCUGGGCCGAUACUGACGCUGAGGAGCGAAAGCGUGGGGAGCAAACAGG